GUGCCAGCCGCCGCGGUAAAACCAGCUCUUCAAGUGGUCGGGACUUUUAUUGGGCUUAAAGUGUCCGUAGCCGGUUUAGUAAGUUCCUGGUUAAAUCUGAUAGCUUAACUAUCAGUCUGCUAGGAAUACUGCUAAACUAGGGGGCGGGAGAAGUUUGAGGUACUCCAGGGGUAGCGGUGAAAUGCUAUAAUCCUUGGGGGACCACCAGUGGCGAAGGCGUCAAACUAGAACGCGCCCGACGGUGAGGGACGAAAGCCAGGGUAGCGAACCGGAUUAGAUACCCGGGUAGUCC
rnacentral:rRNA from 1 species